UAUCGCGUUUGAUCCUCACAACAGCUUGGGAGGGUAUCCUGGCAUUGCUCUCUGCCAGGCACAGUACCUCUGCUGGGCAGAUUGUUCAGCUGGGCCCCCUGGACCUACUCCUCCGACUACUCAGCUCGGCUCCUAUCUACAGAGCUCCUUCUCUCUUGAAUCUAAAGCUGACUCUCAUCUCCUGCUCUGACCCUUUAUUCCAGCUAGGUGUUGCGGUGGAUGGAGCACCAGG